UUUUUCCCCAGAGGGAGUAGUUAGUCACUAGGGCAAGAGGAGCAGGUCACUUGGGCAAAGCUCUUUCAAGUUUAUCUCGGCACCUCUAAGGUACUUACCAGUAAGAAUUUCUGCAGCUCCCAACCCUCAUUAAUAUAUAGAUAUAUAUAUUUGUAAAUAGAACAUAAGUGGAAAACAGAUGAUACAUAGAAGGUCCUACCAGAAUGAAAUUAGAUUCAUGAAUUCAAAGACUGAAUAUAUUGUUUUAGGAUCCUGAUAUGAGCAUCACAAGUAAUCCCCCAGAUGCUCUUCCUUUCCACCCCGCCCCCCUUUCAUAUAACUGGAGACACCUUUCCCACCAAACCACUCUGCCUCACACCCUCUGCAUUGGGCUCAUUCAUUCAUUUAUACACCCAUCAAAUAUUUAACUGAGCUGAUAACAUGUGCCAGGCACUGUGCUUGGCGCUGGGGAUACAAAUGAAUACUGUAUGGUCUUUGCCUCCAGGAUUGUCCCGAGCCAGCCCUGAGCACGGGAUCACCGUGCCCUUCACAGCAGAGAACUCAUGCUCUUCCUGUUCCUCAUGGAAGGCAGGAUGUAUGUGGGACAUUGAGGAUCCUGUUGUCUCUUUCUUCCUGACAAAGCAUACUUCCUGGCUUGCAGGGUUGGCCACAGGGCUGGGCACCGGGACUCAGUCUGAGGAACUGACAGAUGGACAAACUACUGGCUGAUUUCUGCUAGGCCUCCAGAAGGACAGAGUAGAGGGGGGAAGAUUUAGGACAUCCCGAAUCAGCUUGGAUUCCAGUAUCCUGUAUCUAGAGAAGCUUGAACCUAUUGAUCUGCUGGAAGCCACUCUCAGAGAUCUUGCUCACUCUGCUGACUGCCACCCCCAAUUCUGCCCCCAAUAUGUCCCUGGCUUCCUCACACCAACCAUCAAAUCUUUUUCAAUCUCUUCAUAGACAUUUGACAUUUUAUGUUCCCGAUUCUCCAAAGACAGGCAGGCUUCACUGUGCUUCUUGCUCCAGGCCUGGAAGAAUGAGUUAUCCAGUUCUCGGUAGGCCACCAUCAGGGUGCGGAGGCCUUCAACGGCAAAAUCCUGGAAGACAUGUGUGUGCACUGAAUAGGCCUGGACUGGGUUAGGGCUGAGUUUAGAGAGUGGCAGACUGACCCCACUGGCCCAUCUGCCUGCAAAAUAGGGCUUAAUAGUUAGUAUCAUAGUGCUAGUACCUAGCCUAACCAGAAAACAACUGGUGAGCUUUCUCAGCAAAAUGUCCUAAAGACAUUUCUUUCUGGGGAAAGAAAGAAAGAAAGAAAGAAAGAAAGAAAGAAAGAAAGAAAGAAAGGAA